UCGCGAAUCUGCUGCACAGGUGGUAAUGCUCUGUAAAGAGAACCGGCGCACAGGUGCUUNCAUGGCUGUCGUCAGCUCGAUGUCGUGAGAUGUUGGGUUAAGUCCCGCAAGANUNUGCAACCCUUGUUCCUUAGUUGCUACGCAAGAGCACUCUAAGGAGACUGCCGGUGACAAACCGGAGGAAGGUGGGGAUGACGUCAAGUCCUCAUGGCCCUUAUGGGUAGGGCUUCACACGUCAUACAAUGGUCGGAACAGAGGGUUGCCAACCCGCGAGGGGGAGCUAAUCCCAGAAAACCGAUCGUAGUCCGGAUUGCACUCUGCAACUCGAGUGCAUGAAGCUGGAAUCGCUAGUAAUCGCGGAUCAGCAUGCCGCGGUGAAUACGUUCCCGGGUCUUGUACACCCCG
rnacentral:rRNA from 1 species